rnacentral:rRNA from 1 species
GAUGAACGCUGACAGAAUGCUUAACACAUGCAAGUCAACUUGAAUUUGGGUUUUUAACUUAGAUUUGGGUGGCGGACGGGUGAGUAACGCGUAAAGAACUUGCCUCACAGCUAGGGACAACAUUUAGAAAUGAAUGCUAAUACCUAAUAUUAUGAUAAUAGGGCAUCCUAUAAUUAUGAAAGCUAUAUGCGCUGUGAGAGAGCUUUGCGUCCCAUUAGCUAGUUGGAGAGGUAACGGCUCACCAAGGCGAUGAUGGGUAGCCGGCCUGAGAGGGUGAUCGGCCACAAGGGGACUGAGACACGGCCCUUACUCCUACGGGAGGCAGCAGUGGGGAAUAUUGGACAAUGGACCGAGAGUCUGAUCCAGCAAUUCUGUGUGCACGAUGAAGUUUUUCGGAAUGUAAAGUGCUUUCAGUUGGGAAGAAAGAAAUGACGGUACCAACAGAAGAAGUGACGGCUAAAUACGUGCCAGCAGCCGCGGUAAUACGUAUGUCACGAGCGUUAUCCGGAUUUAUUGGGCGUAAAGCGCGUCUAGGUGGUUAUAUAAGUCUGAUGUGAAAAUGCAGGGGCUCAACUCUGUAUUGCGUUGGAAACUGUAUAACUAGAGUACUGGAGAGGUAAGCGGAACUACAAGUGUAGAGGUGAAAAUUCGUAUAUAUUUGUACGAAUGCCGAUGGGGGAGCCAACUUACUGGACAGAUACUGACGCUGAAUCUCGAAGGCGUGGGUAGCGAACAGGAUAGAUACCCAUGUAGUCCCAAAGCGAUUCGCCGUGGAUAUAAAAUUAUCAAUAGGGCACCCGCGACGGGGAGGCGGGCCCGCUUUUAGCCCUGUACCGGGAGGGGAGCCGCGACCGCUACCAGUUGUCAGAGUUAUUUCAA